rnacentral:misc_RNA from 1 species
GUAGGUGAACCUGCGGAAGGAUCAUUAUUGAAUAAACUGGCUUUCCCUACUAGUGCUGGCAUCUUUUUUGCAAGUGCACAUUUAGAGAAGUCUUUAUCCAACUUACACCUGUGAACUAUGAGAGUGUAGCCUUUCUCGAGAGGCAUGGCUCUUCCUUUUUUUACAAACACUGUAUUAAAAUAAGAAAUCAAAUAAAUCAUAAAUAAUACAACUUUCAACAACGGAUCUCUUGGCUCUCGCAUCGAUGAAG